UGAUCCUGGCUCAGGAUGAACGCUAGCGGCAGGCUUAACACAUGCAAGUCGAGGGGUAACAUUGUAGCUUGCUACAGAUGACGACCGGCGCACGGGUGCGUAACGCGUAUAGAACUUACCUUUUACAGAGGGAUAGCCUUUAGAAAUGAAGAUUAAUACCUCAUAGUAUUAUUGAUUGGCAUCAAUUAAUAAUUAAAGAUUUAUCGGUAAAAGAUGGCUAUGCGUCCUAUUAGCUAGAUGGUAAGGUAAUGGCUUACCAUGGCUACGAUAGGUAGGGGCCCUGAGAGGGGGAUCCCCCACACUGGUACUGAGACACGGACCAGACUCCUACGGGAGGCAGCAGUGAGGAAUAUUGGGCAAUGGAGGUAACUCUGACCCAGCCAUGCCGCGUGCAGGAAGACUGCCCUAUGGGUUGUAAACUGCUUUUAUACAGGAAGAAACACUCGUACGUGUACGAGCUUGACGGUACUGUAAGAAUGAGGACCGGCUAACUCCGUGCCAGCAGCCGCGGUAAUACGGAGGGUCCGAGCGUUAUCCGGAAUCAUUGGGUUUAAAGGGUCCGCAGGCGGUCAAUUAAGUCAGAGGUGAAAUCCCAUAGCUUAACUAUGGAACUGCCUUUGAUACUGGUUGACUUGAGUCAUAUGGAAGUAGAUAGAAUGUGUAGUGUAGCGGUGAAAUGCAUAGAUAUUACACAGAAUACCGAUUGCGAAGGCAGUCUACUACGUAUGUACUGACGCUCAUGGACGAAAGCGUGGGGAGCGAACAGGAUUAGAUACCCUGGUAGU
rnacentral:rRNA from 1 species